rnacentral:lncRNA from 1 species
ACAGCAGUUGCUACCAGUCGUAACCGUGUCAUAUUUCAGUUUUAAGGCAAAAUAGCAUAGACCAGACCAGGUGUACCAUGUAUCCAAUACACAGUGAGUAUGACUUUUCCUGAAAAAAUCAAAUAGGGCAUGCUUUUUGUGUGAUUUGAAUUCAUAGUUUUUUUAUUACCUAUAUAGAAAUGCAUUGUAUUGUAUGGCUACUUAAAAAAAAUGGAGCAAGAGUU